ACCACCAUCUAAUUCUCUCUCUCUAAACUCAUAUUUCAUGUCCUUUACUGAUCUCUUGGCCGAUGCUUCUUCUUGGAUAAUUUAUUAGCUAUAUAAGAUGGGAAUAAAGAGAGCAAUGUCAGUAUGUCACUACAAAUAGCUAAGAAUCACGGCUCUGGCAGAAGAUCCUUUAAUAAUAUAAUGGUAGAAAUAGUUCAUCCAUCAAUUGUAUAACUGGCUCUAUUAUUACUUAGAUGAAACAUUCUUACCAAAAAAAAAAAAUAGAUGAAACAUUUAUAUUAGCCUAUAAAAUAGGUAUCAUUCAUUAGUUAAUCAAAGAUGGAAAUUGCUCGCCAAUUACGCAGCAGAACACAACUCAAUUUUGUGAUUAAAUAAAACAACUUAUAUAAUAAACUUCAAGUGCAUAUUAAAUAUUUCCAUGAUGAUGUUGGAAGCUUUAAUAUUUAUUUUUAGGAGAACCACAGAUAGAAACUAAAAACAACACCACCGCACACAUUAGUCGGGAAAAAGGGGGAAAAAAAACCUGAAUCAUCGUCCUUCCGUGUCUUUGUUUUCUAUAGGUGCAAAUAUUACUUGCAUAAAAAAUACCUUUUCGUUGGUACAUAACCAAAACACUGCUACAUCCAUUUGUAAACAUUAUCCAUCCAAUUAUAAUAGUUCUCUAGUCAUUUCCAGGGCAUGCACGCAAUUUUUUGAUAUGCUAAAUGUGCAGAAUAGCCAGUCUGGGUUCCAAGUUAUACAGACGUGACUUCAGAACUCUAUGCCAAACUGCCAAUAUUGACCAAAUACAUAUGAGAAAGCAAGUUAGUUAAACUAAACUAUAAAUUAAGGUCAUAUUAAACAUAGAUGUACAGAUGCAUGUACGAGAAAACAAAGUCAUGCAGAUUGCGUCAAAUUACAACUUAGAUCAAUACAUUUAAUUUUGUGAUAAAAAGGAUCUAUUUCGAGUUACUGCCUGAAUUGAAAUUUUCAAAAUGUUUAUCUCGUGGGUAUCAAGGCCAUUUCGGGUGUUUUAAAUGCCCAACCAAGCACUGCCGCUUAGAACUAGAGGCAUCAGACAUGCACCUACCACGCAUAAAACAUUUAUCAGACUUGCACCUACCACGCAUAAAAUUAUUAAACAUCCAAGCUCGAUCUCACCUGAACUUAUUGAUAAUGAAUGCUGCUCCAAGCAUCACUCUAUUCCCCACUCAGAGCAUCGGACCCUGUGGCACUCCUGGAUUGGUUAGUAUACAGAGCCACGUGGAUGACAAGCAGGACCGAUAUACCACCCCAUCCAUCAGCGUGCGGCAGGAUUGGAGCGGGGAAUAGAGGAAAACAUCGUGAUCCAACUAUUGUACGAUGAGUCCAAAACAGGCCAUCAUGGGUCUGAAUGAUUGGCUGCUGCAUGCUCCGAGCUUUAUGUUUUCCU
rnacentral:lncRNA from 1 species